CAGCCAUGUGGUGAGCAC
rnacentral:siRNA from 1 species